UCAGCUCGUGUUGUGAAAUGUUGGGUUAAGUCCCGCAACGAGCGCAACCCUUAUCCUUUGUUGCCAGCGGUUAGGCCGGGAACUCAAAGGAGACUGCCAGUGAUAAACUGGAGGAAGGUGGGGAUGACGUCAAGUCAUCAUGGCCCUUACGAGUAGGGCUACACACGUGCUACAAUGGCGCAUACAAAGAGAAGCGACCUCGCGAGAGCAAGCGGACCUCAUAAAGUGCGUCGUAGUCCGGAUUGGAGUCUGCAACUCGACUCCAUGAAGUCGGAAUCGCUAGUAAUCGUAGAUCAGAAUGCUACGGUGAAUACGUUCCCGGGCCUUGUACACACCGCCCGUCACACCAUGGGAGUGGGUUGCAAAAGAAGUAGGUAGCUUAACCUUCGGAGGGCGCUACCA
rnacentral:rRNA from 1 species